rnacentral:rRNA from 1 species
UACGUAGGGUGCGAGCGUUGUCCGGAAUUAUUGGGCGUAAAGAGCUUGUAGGCGGUCUGUCGCGUCUGCUGUGAAAAUCCGGGGCUCAACCCCGGACCUGCAGUGGGUACGGGCAGACUAGAGUGUGGUAGGGGAGACUGGAAUUUCUGGUGUAGCGGUGAAAUGCGCAGAUAUCAGGAGGAACACCGAUGGCGAAGGCAGGUCUCUGGGCCAUAACUGACGCUGAGAAGCGAAAGCAUGGGGAGCGAACAGG